UUUGGCCACCGCCCACCUCUUCCCCCGCAUCUUCCCCUCCAGACCCCCAUGUCCUCCCGCCCCGUUCCUCCGGCACCUGUUCGCCGCCCUUCGCCCCACCAUCCCCUCCUACUGGAGCUGCCCCCCGCUGGACCCACCCUUCGCAGCACCCCGUUGGAGCCGCCCCUUGCCGCGCUGGAUCCGCCCUUCGCCGCCCCCCCUCCCCCACGCCGCUGGAGCCGCCGUCGGAGCUGCCCUUCGCCGCAGGCCGCCGCCGAGCCGCUCGCCGCUGUUCCUCUCCUGCUUCACGUGAGACUACAAGUGCACAGGCGGGAGGAUUUUCCUAGCCCUGCCCCGUCCUCUCAUCUCUCGAUCUGAUUGAAGCCACGGCCCGGGAAUGGCAGCUGAGUCGUCGGCGGUGGCCGGCACGCGGAAGGCGCCCUCCAUUGAGUGGCGGUGGGUGUCCGCGGGGGAGGAGGAGGACGACAAGCUGGAGGGCCAUGGCGAUGGAUUUCUCCAUCUCUCCGGUAGACAGGUUGCCCAUCUUCCCGGAUGAGGCGGCUAGCGCGGUGGCCCUAAUGGAUUUGAUUGGUGGCGAAGAGGAAUCCGCCAAUGGAUCUUGUGGGGCUGUUGUCGCCGGAUUUGCGCAUGGCUCAUCUGGGCAGUUCGUACGUGGUGUUGUGUGCAGCAAGGAGAGGACUGUAGCUACCGGUGGUGCCGCCAUGUCCGUAAUUCCCUUCCUGAUCCGUGGAUCAGAUUUGGUGCUUUCCGGUAACGGCGGCAGUGACUGAAGUAAAUGCAGCCAUGGGUCGCUGGAGCACCUGUCUCCUAACUCCCCGAGCGUGGAUCUUCUUUUGGUGAGAGCGGCGACCGGUGGAGCCACCGUCUGUGACAAGGCGACUGCCCACUCCGGCGUACAUGGAGUUCUUGAUGCAGCGGAUUAACAGCAGAACUCCGCUAGAGGAGGUGAACGGCAGCGACAUACCUAUCACCUAUGGAGCCCCUGCACUACCCCGUGAUGUCGUCGCCGGGGGCGAGCUGCCGGCCACGACGGCGUCAACUGUGGAUGCCCAGAUCUGUGCUGCGGUCGCGGCUGCAGAGCCAGCGACGGGAGACAAGGCACAGACAUCUGAGCAACCCAUACAUCAGAUUGACCCCAAAAGUCCUGGGUGGAUGCGAAGGAAAUAAGAUUUGUUGGUAAUUAAACGUUGCAAAUUCCAGUAGUAAAGAGUAGCUCGUUCUGCGAUUCAGCAAGCGUGGGCAGACAUGGCGAUGGAUUUCUCCAGCUCUCAGACAGGUUGCCCAUCUUCCCGGAUGAGGCGGCUAGCGCGGUGGCCCUAAUGGAUUUGAUUGGUGGCGAAGAGGAAUCUGCCAAUGGAUCUUGUGGGGCUGUUGUCGCCGGAUUUGCGCAUGGCUCAUUUGGGCAGUUCGUACAUGGUGUUGUGUGCAGCAAGGAGAGGACUGUAGCUACCGGUGGCGCCGCCAUGUCCGGUUUCAGUGAGAGCGAGGGUGACAACGCAGAUGCAAUUGGCCAAGCCGACGACCAAAGCACAUAUUGAUGAACACCAAGAGGCUGUGAUUCAAGAUCGAACUGAAAGUGGUGAUGGAGGGUUUGCUCAAUCUACUACUUGCAAGGUGGAUCCGCAAGCCCCUGGGUGGACUUAGAGGUAAUAGGCAUUUACUUACAAGAGAGUAAGAGUCGGGAAUCAGCCAACGGAUAGAGCCCCAUGCCCAGAAAGAUUAGGCGUGCUGGAGGAGACAAUUCGAGGGCAUGCAGAUAAAUUGGGGGACCAUGUAGUUGAGCCUGCUAUUGGCUUAACAUUCGACUCCUUCGGUGAAGCAUAUGAUUUUUGCAACCUUAUUCGUGGGAGCAUGGUUUCGGUAUCAGGACACCCUGUCCCAGCGGGCUCGGCACACUCUCCGGUCCGCUGAAAUUACAGGAUACCCUGUCCCGGUAGGCUCGACACUCUCCGCUCUGCUGAAAUUACAGGACCGGACACUAUGUCUGGGAAGAAUUGGUGCCCUGGAGCAAAUGAUUUAGGGGUAUACAGAUUAGUUGGGUGAGCACGGUGCUAUUGGGCUAACACUAGAUCUCCACAACUAUUAAACAGUCAAACAAGAACUUUCUUAUGUGCACCCCGCAAAACGUCCACAGACACAUCACGACCACACGAUGAAGCCCACACGACCCAAUCUAACAGCCAUCAUUAAUUUAUUCGAGAUCUGGUGUGCGCCUAGCAGUUUACGUAGACUGACCGUACUCCACCAGAUGAUUCGUCAGACUAAUUGAGGGACUUCGAUCGGCUUUUAAUGUCACGGCUGAUUUGCUUCCAAAAUCCAUCAUUCGGUUUCCAAAUGAGCCUGAUUUCUUCCCGGGUCCCCCCAUAAAUCCUGCAAUUAAUCCCACAUCCACCGCCCCACCUAACUCUCACCCCCCAUCUCGACUGCCUCCGCGAGGCCGCCACAGCUCCAUCGCCGAGCUAACCACGCCCCUCGCUGAUCUGGUUCUCUCCUUCAGCGAUCUUCCAGUCCCACUGCGGCCGUGAGAUUCAUCGCGCCGGUGUUGCAUCCCUCUGGUGGCUGCGCCUGCCAUUAUCCAUGGAACAAGCUCAGAGCCCCCCUUGCCUUCCUGUUCCUCUCCCGUGUUGGUGUCCUAUGUGCCACCCAUGAUGUUCUCUCCUGCAUGGACAUCCCUAAGACGCUCUUAGGUUGCACAUGCGUUGGUCCUAUUGCUGCGUGUGAUGUGCCUUGCUGCUAAGCGUUGAUCCAGUUUGUAAGUUUUUUUAGUCCAAUCCAGUUUGUAAGGCUUUUUUUUGAGCCCAAUCCAGUUUGUAAGUAGUGCUACGUGAGAGAUGAUCAGAUGAGAUGGGCCUGAUAAUCUUGUUGCUGCUGUUGUACUACAUGUCCAUCGGGAGCAAGGCUAGGAGAAAACAAGAGAAAAGAAGCGGCGAAAGUGACACAGUCCAGUACAGAUCUCGAAUUGAAUCCUCCUCUAUAAGGGUUUCUCUGCCUACAACCCGAUGCAUUGUAAAGAUGUCGAGUACGCUACCACCAAGAUGAGGUUGUCUUAUUGAUGACGGCGAGCUCGCGGUGCAUGUGAGAUAGUCCAGUCAGCGUGCUUGUGACGCUAACUAGACGGGUGGAAAAUAAUGUUUUUGUGAUAGCAAUUUUUAUUUCUUAAUAAUUUUUAAAAAUGGGGACAUAUGUAAUUACCAGUUGCAUUUUUUGCCCAGCGCUUCAUUAUCACCAUGGAAGCAAAUUCUCGAUAUAAUUGAAGCAAUGGUUCAUUGUCAUGGAAGCAUAUCCCAUAACGGAAGCAAGGUGUGCUUACAACAGAACGGAAAUUUCAUUAUAUUCCAAGGAGAUAGGAGUUUGCUUCCAUCUACCUAGAGUUUGCUUCCAUCUGCCUAUUCACAACACAAGCAGACACGAAUUAUUCGACACAAAUGGUGGUAACAAUUUAUAUUAUUGUGGAAGCAAAUUGAGUCGAUGAUAGCAUAUUAUAAUUGAGUCGAAAGCUGAGUUGGAUUUUUUUUUUGCUUACAUUGUUCUUGCUUGAUUUCUAUGGAGAUACAUGGUUAAUGCUCUGCCGAAUAUGCGUGCAAGGCACUGUUUUGGAUUGGUUGGCAUUUUAUGGCAACCUUCAGAUGUUGAUGCAAAAGACAAGCGACAUGUUACUGUUUUCAUAUGAUCUAA